UUAAGUCUCCUGAAGGAACGUUGAAGACGACGACGUUGAUAGGUCGGGUGUGUAAGCGCAGCGAUGCGUUGAGCUAACCGAUACUAAUGAACCGUGAGGCUUAACCUUACAACGCCGAAGGUGUUUC
rnacentral:rRNA from 1 species